UGCUCACUCGCUUUUGGUUUUUUCGUGGUCAUGUCUUUAAUGUGUUUUGAUGGUUGUAAUUGAUUCAAAUUUCUGGCUUUUUAGGUUUUCCAGGGUUUAGGAAUGGCUAUGGGAAUGGUUAAAUGGAAAGCACAUCUAUAGUCAACAUGAACCUGUGCCUAAAAAGGUUCUUGACUUGAUGAAUGUUGAAAAGCUUACAUGGGGGAAUGUGGCCCACCACCUUCAGGCAUUGAUGAUAUUGUUCUAUUCAUAGAGCAUACGAUAAGGCUGCUAUCGUGGAGUAAAUGCUGAUAUAAACUUUAGUUUGAGAGUUUAUGAGGAGGAUUUGAAGCAGGUAUUGAACAUGGUAGGCUAUCAAUUUUAUUUGAUUUUUCUGUCAGUUUAAUUCAUUAUUUGAUUGAGUUGCAGAUGAGAAUUUUGACAAAGGAAGAGUUUGUGCUUGUUCUUCAUCGACAAAUCAGUGAAAUAUUGAGGAGAAACGCAACUCACAUAAGUGCAUUAGCUCUUCACAAAGGUGGUCAAGGAGAACAAAGUAUAAGACCAUUUAUUAGCAAGACGUGGAAAUGUUGAGAAGGACCAUGCUUGUUAGGAGAGAUUUGAGGACAUGGACUUCCGAAGAAGUGUUUUUAAAGUAGAUAGAAACAACCCAGUUUAGAUGUGGCUACAAAAACUGCUACGACACUUGCAAUUGUGCCUUCAUAGUAAUAGGUUCUAUAUUCUGGUUUUACAAGAAGACGUUGCCCCUCCUGUAGUUCUAUUGUCAAUCAUAGUUAUUCACUCAUUUUAUUGAAA
rnacentral:sRNA from 1 species